rnacentral:rRNA from 1 species
AGCGAACGCUGGCGGCAGGCCUAACACAUGCAAGUCGAACGAACCUUUCGGGGUUAGUGGCGGACGGGUGAGUAACACGUGGGAACGUGCCUUUAGGUUCGGAAUAACUCAGGGGAAACUUGUGCUAAUACCGAAUGUGCCCUUCGGGGGAAAGAUUUAUCGCCUUUAGAGCGGCCCGCGUCUGAUUAGCUAGUUGGUUGAGGUAAUGGCUCACCAAGGCGACGAUCAGUAGCUGGUCUGAGAGGAUGAUCAGCCACAUUGGGACUGAGACACGGCCCAAACUCCUACGGGAGGCAGCAGUGGGGAAUCUUGCGCAAUGGGCGAAAGCCUGACGCAGCCAUGCCGCGUGAAUGAUGAAGGUCUUAGGAUUGUAAAAUUCUUUCACCGGGGACGAUAAUGACGGUACCCGGAGAAGAAGCCCCGGCUAACUUCGUG